CUACGAGCCGCUCCAGUGAGGAAUAUUGCACAAUGGGGGGAACCCUGAUGCAGCAACGCCGCGUGGAGGAUGACGCAUUUCGGUGUGUAAACUCCUUUUAUAUGUCAAGAAAAUGACGGUAGCAUAUGAAUAAGCACCGGCUAACUCCGUGCCAGCAGCCGCGGUAAUACGGAGGGUGCAAGCGUUACUCGGAAUCACUGGGCGUAAAGGACGCGUAGGCGGGUUGGAAAGUCAGGUGUGAAAUCCUACAGCUUAACUGUAGAACUGCACUUGAAACUUCUAAUCUAGAGUAUGGGAGGGGGAGAUGGAAUUAGUGGUGUAGGGGUAAAAUCCGUAGAUAUCGCUAGGAAUACCUAAAGCGAAGGCGAUCUCCUGGAACAUUACUGACGCUAAGGCGUGAAAGCGUGGGGAGCAAACAGGAUUAGAUACCCCCGUAGUC
rnacentral:rRNA from 1 species